UCGAACGAGAAAGCAGGAGCAAUCUUGUGAGUAAAGUGGCGUACGGGUGAGUAACACGUGGAUCAUCUACCCUCUAGUGGGGGAUAACCCUGGGAAACCGGGGCUAAUACCGCAUAAGCUCGAGAGAGGAAAGCAGCAAUGCGCUGGAGGAGGAGUCCGCGGCCGAUUAGCUAGUUGGUAGGGUAAAGGCCUACCAAGGCUACGAUCGGUAGCCGGCCUGAGAGGGCACACGGCCACACUGGCACUGAAACACAGGCCAGACUCCUACGGGAGGCAGCAGUGGGGAAUCUUGCACAAUGGGGGCAACCCUGAUGCAGCGACGCCGCGUGAGCGAUGAAGCCCUUCGGGGUGUAAAGCUCUUUCGGCAGGGAAGAUUAUGACGGUACCUGCAGAAGCAGCUGCGGCUAACUACGUGCCAGCAGCCGCGGUAAUACGUAGGCAGCAAGCGUUGUUCGGAGUUACUGGGCGUAAAGGGUGUGUAGGCGGUUCUCUAAGUCUGGUGUGAAAUCUCCCGGCUCAACUGGGAGGGUGCGCCGAAAACUGGAGGGCUAGAGUGCGGGAUGGGAGAGUGGAAUUCCUGGUGUAGCGGUGAAAUGCGUAGAUAUCAGGAGGAACACCUGUGGGUGUAGACGGCUCUCUGGACCGCAACUGACGCUGAGACACGAAAGCGUGGGUAGCAAACAGGAUUAGAUACCCUGGUAGCCCACGCCCUAAACGAUGCAUUAUUUGGUGUGGGCCAUUCAUUUGGUCUGUGCCGGAGCUAACGCG
rnacentral:rRNA from 1 species